CAUUGUAAGGAUACACUCAUCAAUAGUAAGUUGAUGGCUAGGGAUAGACAAUGGACCCCUCACAGGAUUGAGGUCAGGACAACAUCAGGACGAUGAAAAGGACACCGCUCAAGGAACAAGUGAUGCGUGCUAACGAGGAAGGUUAGCGAUCAGGAUGAUAAGGACACCGCUAGGACGGCGACGGAAGGACUCAGCUGACGGAAUCAGCCACUAUUACGGAUGAUGCAUGGAGCACGGAUUGGUAGCCGGACUGCUACAAGUAAGACUAUGACCCCGAUACGUUUGUGUCGGGGUUUUCUUUUUUC
rfam:Vibrio sp. AND4 1103602000600, whole genome shotgun sequence.